GGCUCAGAACGAACGCUGGCGGCAGGCUUAACACAUGCAAGUCGAGCGCCCCGCAAGGGGAGCGGCAGACGGGUGAGUAACGCGUGGGAAUCUACCCUUUUCUACGGAAUAACGCAGGGAAACUUGUGCUAAUACCGUAUAAGCCCUUCGGGGGAAAGAUUUAUCGGGAAAGGAUGAGCCCGCGUUGGAUUAGCUAGUUGGUGGGGUAAAGGCCUACCAAGGCGACGAUCCAUAGCUGGUCUGAGAGGAUGAUCAGCCACAUUGGGACUGAGACACGGCCCAAACUCCUACGGGAGGCAGCAGUGGGGAAUAUUGGACAAUGGGCGCAAGCCUGAUCCAGCCAUGCCGCGUGAGUGAUGAAGGCCCUAGGGUUGUAAAGCUCUUU
rnacentral:rRNA from 1 species